AGCGAACGCUGGCGGCAGGCCUAACACAUGCAAGUCGAACGGAUCCUUCGGGAUUAGUGGCGGACGGGUGAGUAACACGUGGGAACGUGCCCUUUGGUUCGGAACAACUCAGGGAAACUUGAGCUAAUACCGGAUGUGCCCUUCGGGGGAAAGAUUUAUCGCCAUUGGAGCGGCCCGCGUCUGAUUAGCUAGUUGGUGAGGUAAAGGCUCACCAAGGCGACGAUCAGUAGCUGGUCUGAGAGGAUGAUCAGCCACAUUGGGACUGAGACACGGCCCAAACUCCUACGGGAGGCAGCAGUGGGGAAUCUUGCGCAAUGGGCGAAAGCCUGACGCAGCCAUGCCGCGUGAAUGAUGAAGGUCUUAGGAUUGUAAAAUUCUUUCAGCAGGGACGAUAAUGACGGUAUCUGCAGAAGAAGCCCCGGCUAACUUCGUGCCAGCAGCCGCGGUAAUACGAAGGGGGCUAGCGUUGCUCGGAAUUACUGGGCGUAAAGGGCGCGUAGGCGGGUCGUUUAGUUAGAGGUGAAAGCCCAGGGCUCAACCCUGGAAUUGCCUUUAAUACUGGCGGCCUUGAGUAUGGCAGAGGUGUGUGGAACUCCGAGUGUAGAGGUGAAAUUCGUAGA
rnacentral:rRNA from 1 species